AUACGGAGGAUGCGAGCGUUAUCCGGAUUUAUUAGGUUUAAAGGGUGUGUAGGCGGUAUUUUAAGUCAGUGGUGAAAUCUUUCAGCUUAACUGAGAAACUGCCAUUGAUAUUGGAAUACUUGAGUAUAGUUGAGGUAGGCGGAAUAUGUAAUGUAGCGGUGAAAUGCAUAGAUAUUACAUAGAACACCGAUUGCGAAGGCAGCUUACUAAACUAUUACUGACGCUGAUGCACGAAAGCGUGGGGAGCGAACAGGAUUAGAUACCCUAGUAGUCC
rnacentral:rRNA from 1 species